rnacentral:rRNA from 1 species
AUAAUGGGUCAGCGACUUAUAUUCUGUAGCAAGGUUAACCGAAUAGGGGAGCCGAAGGGAAACCGAGUCUUAACUGGGCGUUAAGUUGCAGGGUAUAGACCCGAAACCCGGUGAUCUAGCCAUGGGCAGGUUGAAGGUUGGGUAACACUAACUGGAGGACCGAACCGACUAAUGUUGAAAAAUUAGCGGAUGACUUGUGGCUGGGGGUGAAAGGCCAAUCAAACCGGGAGAUAGCUGGUUCUCCCCGAAAGCUAUUUAGGUAGCGCCUCGUGAAUUCAUCUCCGGGGGUAGAGCACUGUUUCGGCAAGGGGGUCAUCCCGACUUACCAACCCGAUGCAAACUGCGAAUACCGGAGAAUGUUAUCACGGGAGACACACGGCGGGUGCUAACGUCC